rnacentral:rRNA from 1 species
AACGAACGCUGGCGGCAUGCCUAACACAUGCAAGUCGAACGAGACCUUCGGGUCUAGUGGCGCACGGGUGCGUAACGCGUGGGAAUCUGCCCUUAGGUUCGGAAUAACUCCCCGAAAUUUGUGCUAAUACCGGAUAAUGUCUUCGGUCCAAAGAUUUAUCGCCUUUGGAUGGGCCCGCUUUGGAUUAGCUAGUUGGUAGGGUAAAAGCCUACCAAGGCGACGAUCCAUAGCUGGUCUGAGAGGAUGAUCAGCCACACUGGGACUGAGACACGGCCCAGACUCCUACGGGAGGCAGCAGUGGGGAAUAUUGGACAAUGGGCGAAAGCCUGAUCCAGCAAUGCCGCGUGAGUGAUGAAGGCCUUAGGGUUGUAAAGCUCUUUUACCCGGGAUGAUAAUGACAGUACCGGGAGAAUAAGCUCCGGCUAACUCCGUG